rnacentral:rRNA from 1 species
AGCAGCCGCGGUAAUUCCAGCUCCAAUAGCGUAUAUUAAAGUUGUUGCAGUUAAAAAGCUCGUAGUUGAAUUUCGGGAUCAGCAGGUCGGUCGUGCCACUGGUAUGCACUGGCCUUGCUGAUUCCUCCCUCUUGAUGAGCCGUAAUGCCAUUAAUUUGGUGUUGCGGGGAAUCAGGACUGUUACCUUGAAAAAAUUAGAGUGUUUAAAGCAGGCAUGCGCUUGAAUACAUUAGCAUGGAAUAAUGAAAUAGGACGUUCGAUCCUAUUUUGUUGGUUUCUAGGAUUGACGUAAUGAUUAAUAGGGAUAGUUGGGGGCAUUAGUAUUCAAUUGUCAGAGGUGAAAUUCUUGGAUUUAUUGAAGACUAACUACUGCGAAAGCAUUUGCCAAGGAUGUUUUCAUUAAUCAAGAACGAAAGUUAGGGGAUCGAAGACGAUCAGAUACCGUCGUAGUCUUAACCAUAAACUAUGCCGACUAGGGAUCAGAUGAUGUUAAUUUUUUAAUGACUCAUUCGGCGCCUUA